GAACUUCUAAAGACAUCAAGUUGGGAGACCUUGAAAUUCCUGCGAAUACUCAAUUUUAUGUUGCACUAGCUGCUGUGCAUCAUGACACUGAGAUAUGGGGGAAAGAUGCACUGGAAUUCAACCCUCAGAGAUUUGUCGAGUCUCGUAAGCAUUUGGCUUCAUUUUUCCCUUUUGCAUUAGGUCCAAGAGUUUGUGUUGGGCAAAACUUAGCCAUGGUUGAAGCCAAAAUCAUCCUGGCAAUGAUAGUUAAGAAUUUCUCCCUUGCAUUAUCACCUUCAUAUGUUCAUGCUCCAACCAUGCAUCUUACUAUGCAGCCCCAGUAUGGUGC
rnacentral:misc_RNA from 1 species